CCUACGGGAGGCAGCAGUGGGGAAUAUUGGACAAUGGGGGCAACCCUGAUCCAGCCAUGCCGCGUGUGUGAAGAAGGCCCUCGGGUUGUAAAGCACUUUCAGUGAGGAAGAACGCCUGGUGGUUAAUACCCAUCAGGAAAGACAUCACUCACAGAAGAAGCACCGGCUAACUCCGUGCCAGCAGCCGCGGUAAUACGGAGGGUGCGAGCGUUAAUCGGAAUUACUGGGCGCAAAGCGCGCGUAGGUGGCUUGAUAAGCCGGUUGUGAAAGCCCCGGGCUCAACCUGGGAACGGCAUCCGGAACUGUCAAGCUAGAGUGCAGGAGAGGAAGGUAGAAUUCCCGGUGUAGCGGUGAAAUGCGUAGAGAUCGGGAGGAAUACCAGUGGCGAAGGCGGCCUUCUGGACUGACACUGACACUGAGGUGCGAAAGCGUGGGUAGCAAACAGGAUUAGAUACCCCGGUAGUC
rnacentral:rRNA from 1 species